CUACCGUCACCAACCCCAUCUCGUUCGCCCGAGCCGCGGACCUGAGGGAGCGCUGUCCGCUCCCCGCAAGAUGCUCACGCGAAAAACCCACUCUUCAGUGUCUGAGACCACUCCGCAGCUUUCGGCCUCGGUGAGCGGGUGAACUAAACCCGGGAAACCGCUGAAAGACCCCAGCUUCGACUAGGCCUAGUCGUAGCGGCGGCCAGCGGGAGGGCGUAGCCGUAGUCUUGGCCCACGUCAUUCUGUGCCCCGGGUCAGGUCACCGCCCGGAGGGUAUGGGAAGAGAAAUGAAGAAGACUGGUACUCCCAGACCCUUCCGUAUCGAGGACCCCAAUCAACAACCCACCUGGCAUGAUCAACCAGAGAUGGGGUCCCACUAUUUUGCCCAGGCUGGUCUUGAACUGCUGGGCUCAAGCAAUCCUCCUGCCUCAGCCUCCCAAAGUGCUGGGAUUACAGGUGUGAGCCACUGUGCCCGGCCCGGAGAACAUGAUCUUAACCAUACUGUCUUCCAAGUGAAAGAUUCUACCUUUCUAAGACAUCUGGAGUCAGACAGACCUGAGUUCAAGUCGUGCCUUCCUCCCCACUUUACUGAACCUUCAGUGAGUCUUUCUACCUCAGAAGGCUGUGAGGAUGCCAUGGGGUAAUGAAUGUAAAGUGUUUAAGUGCUUGGCUGACACUGAGUACUAAAUAAAUAUCAAUUUAUUCUUC
rnacentral:lncRNA from 1 species